rnacentral:rRNA from 1 species
UAGGGAAUUUUCGUCAAUGGGCGCAAGCCUGAACGAGCAAUGCCGCGUGAACGAGGAAGGUCUUCGAUCGUAAAGUUCUGUUGAAGGGGAAAAAGAGCGGAGAGAGGAAAUGAACUCCGAUUGAUAUUACCCUUCGAGGAAGUCACGGCUAACUACGUGCC